rnacentral:rRNA from 1 species
AGCGAACGCUGGCGGCAGGCUUAACACAUGCAAGUCGAGCGGGCCCUUCGGGGUCAGCGGCGGACGGGUGAGUAACGCGUGGGAACGUGCCUUCUGGCCUGGAAUAACCCUGGGAAACUAGGGCUAAUACCGGAUACGCCCUUUUGGGGAAAGGUUUACUGCCGGAAGAUCGGCCCGCGUCUGAUUAGCUAGUUGGUGGGGUAACGGCCUACCAAGGCGACGAUCAGUAGCUGGUCUGAGAGGAUGAUCAGCCACACUGGGACUGAGACACGGCCCAGACUCCUACGGGAGGCAGCAGUGGGGAAUAUUGGACAAUGGGCGCAAGCCUGAUCCAGCCAUGCCGCGUGAGUGAUGAAGGCCUUAGGGUUGUAAAGCUCUUUUAUCCGGGACGAUAAUGACGGUACCGGAGGAAUAAGCCCCGGCUAACUUCGUG